rnacentral:guide_RNA from 1 species
UAAAAUAGGGAGAAAAUCCCUGUAUAU